rnacentral:lncRNA from 10 species
UGUUGAGGGACAACUGGGUUGUUUCUAGUUUGGGGGUAUCAUAAAUAAAACUGCUGUGAAGGAUUUUUUACAUGCUGCUUGGUACACAUGUUCACUCAUCUACUCAGGCGUGGAAUCAUAGAGUAGGCAUAUGUUUAGCUUGUCUAGACACUGCCAAACAGUUUUCCAAAGUGGCUCUAUUGACUUACAUCCUCACCAGCAGUGUGUGGGAGCUCCAGCAGCUCCACGUCUUGGUUAGCACUUGGUGUUGUCAGUUUUUUUAAUAUUGGCCAUUCUGGUGGUACCCAGGAAUUUGAAUCCAUAGUUCCUGACUUGAAAUCAGGGCCCUUCUUACUUUUAGCAUGCUCAAGACAGGUUUGAAUUUUGUAGCCUCGAAUGGCCUCAGAAAUCAAUACCCAGGACCCACAAUACAGCAGGCAAGCAUAUGAGGGAGCCCCUGCUCAUGGCUCCAGUGCCUAGGGAGGGUCUCAGAGAGGCAUCAGCUCUGGAGAGGCAGUCUAGCGUAGUGGCGAAAACUCAGGUUCUGGGAAGCAAGCAGCUAAGGUUCAGAUCCCAGCUCUGCCAUCGCAAAGCUGCCUCGGGGUGGAACAUUAGUACCUACCUCACAGGGUGAUCAUGAGAAUUAAAAGAAUAGGUGGAUAUGAAAUAAUAGUGCCUUACACAUGAUAAAUGCUAUAUAAAUGAUAGCUGCUGCUCUUUCUAUUGUUGACCUGAAGUAAGCCCUGAGUCCCCCUGGAGCGGGGGUAAGGCCACAAGCAGAUGGCAUCUGGCAUAGCCCCAUGUAAUAAGAUUCAGUAAUCCGGUCUGACUGAGGCGGGGGGAAAAGUAGCAUAGUGGCUAGAAGUGAUUCUUUACUGGGGCCCAGCGAAAAGUCACCCUCCACUACUGGGGAGCCCCUGCUUAUCCCAGGCCCAAGGCUCUUUGGCCAGUGACACUACUGAGGUGUCACACCUGAGGGGAAGAAAUGGAAUCAUGCAUGAAAUGGAACCAAGAGGAAGUGGAAGCAUACUCUUAGCCCAGAGCUAGAUGCAAAGCAGCUGUUUGAAUAUAACAACCCACCAGUGCAGACACAGAUCUAGACAUGUACCUGUAUAGCAGCCAAUGAGGGGUGGCAUGAGGGACAAGGGCCUGGGAUUCAGGAGCCCUAAGUGUUGGUCUGAGCACUGCCACCAGCUAUAUGUGACCUGAGGCCUUGUGAAGUGGAAGUUAGAAGAAAUCACAGUUCCCAGCUCAAAUCCUGAAGAAGUAGCAAUGAACAGGUAGAGUUUCCUCCCAGAGCCCUAAGCCAGGUGUGGUGCACGUGCCUGCAAUCCCAUCUGCUCGGGAGGCUGAGGCAGGAGGAUCGCUUGAGCCCAGGAGUUCAAAUCCAGCCUGGGCAACAUAAUGGGAGCCUCUUAAAAAAAAAAAAAAGAAAGAAAGAAAA